rnacentral:rRNA from 1 species
GAAAAGAAUGCUAAUACCGCAUGACAUAUCGGAACCACAUGGUUCUGAUAUCAAAGAUUUUAUCGCUUGAAGAUGGACUCGCGUCCGAUUAGUUAGUUGGUGAGGUAACGGCUCACCAAGACCGCGAUCGGUAGCCGGACUGAGAGGUUGAACGGCCACAUUGGGACUGAGACACGGCCCAGACUCCUACGGGAGGCAGCAGUGGGGGAUAUUGCGCAAUGGGGGCAACCCUGACGCAGCAACGCCGCGUGAAGGAUGAAGGUUUUCGGAUUGUAAACUUCUUUUAUUAAGGACGAAAAAUGACGGUACUUAAUGAAUAAGCUCCGGCUAACUACGUGCCAGCAGCCGCGGUAAUACGUAGGGAGCAAGCGUUGUCCGGAUUUACUGGGUGUAAAGGGUGCGUAGGCGGCUUUGCAAGUCAGAUGUGAAAUCUAUGGGCUCAACCCAUAAACUGCAUUUGAAACUGUAGAGCUUGAGUGAAGUAGAGGCAGGCGGAAUUCCCCGUGUAGCGGUGAAAUGCGUAGAGAUGGGGAGGAACACCAGUGGCGAAGGCGGCCUGCUGGGCUUUAACUGACGCUGAGGCACGAAAGCGUGGGUAGCAAACAGGAUUAGAUACCCUGGUAGUCCACGCUGCAAACGAUGAUUACUAGGUGUGGGGGGUCUGACCCCUUCCGUG